UCAUCUGGACCUUUUCUGCUCCAUCAUCUUAUAUUCCAAGUCGCUCCGCGCUCGACGAGAGAUGUACUCCUGGAAUUAAUACAGAAAUUCGAUUUUCCGACUUUGAAGAGUCUUCUUGAUUAAUUUCAAAGGUCGCCGGACGUCUCUCGUCGUCUCUUCGUCGCCCUUCUUCGUGCACUCGUCCCUGAUCGAACUCUGCGGGGAAUUACAAACUUUCAAGUCUUCCGACUUUGAAGAGUCUUCUUGAUUAACAUCAAGGAUC
rnacentral:lncRNA from 1 species